AUUGAACGCUGGCGGCAUGCUUUACACAUGCAAGUCGAACGGUAACAGGGUGCUUGCACCGCUGACGAGUGGCGAACGGGUGAGUAAUGCAUCGGAAUGUACCGUGUAAUGGGGGAUAGCUCGGCGAAAGCCGGAUUAAUACCGCAUACGCCCUGAGGGGGAAAGUGGGGGACCGAAAGGCCUCACGUUAUACGAGCAGCCGAUGUCUGAUUAGCUAGUUGGUGAGGUAAAGGCUCACCAAGGCGUCGAUCAGUAGCGGGUAUGAGAGGAUGAUCCGCCACACUGGGACUGAGACACGGCCCAGACUCCUACGGGAGGCAGCAGUGGGGAAUUUUGGACAAUGGGCGCAAGCCUGAUCCAGCCAUGCCGCGUGUCUGAAGAAGGCCUUCGGGUUGUAAAGGACUUUUGUCCGGGAGCAAAUCCUAGUGGUUAAUAACCGCUGGGUCUGAGAGUACCGGAAGAAUAAGCACCGGCUAACUACGUG
rnacentral:rRNA from 1 species